rnacentral:pre_miRNA from 1 species
CUACUACUCUCUCCGUCUGGAAAUACUUGUCCGAGGAAUCAAUGUAUCUAGAUACAUCUAUUUGUAUCCAUUUCUAUGACAAGUAUUUCCGGACGGAGGGAGUACUAU